AUUUAAUAAAGUUGUGUUUGUUAGGAGUAGGGAUAGAGCUUUCCAACAACAAUAUUUAAAUUCAGCAGGUUAAAUUACAUAGAAAUAUAUGCUGUAUUUUCUCAUCGAAAGCAAAUAGCACCACACUUCUGACAAAUUUGAUGAAGUGGGCGGCCAUUUUGUUUUAUGGAAAUUAGGGGCGAAGGACUAAAGAUACAGCUUGCCAACUCAGCAUGUCAAAAUACAUAGAAGUUUUAUUUUCUCUUCUAAUGCAAACACAAGCAAACUUUUGAAAAGCUUCAUGAAAUGAGCAGCAAUUGUGUUUUAUGAAAAUUAGGAGCGGAGGGGUAAAGAUACAGCUUGCCAACAAUAUUUGAAUUCAGCAGGUCAAAAUACAUAGAAAAGGGGGUUUAAUUUGCUUUUAUAGUACAUA